CGCCUCCUCCUCCUCCUCCUGUCCUCGCAGUCAGCUCGCUGUUUUUCACCUGCGCUCCCUCACCGAAACUGCUUGGUAUGUUUCGGACUUUCCACGGCUCAUCCAAACAAGAGUGACAUAUCUGCGGGCCAUAUUUGUACAGCUGAGACCGACUUCAACUCCUCAUUUCUUAAAGCUCACCAGAGGUAUCCACAGACCCGUACAGUUUCUGUUUAAGGAUGGACUCCGCUGCUUUCCUAUUGCUGGCUUUCGUGAACGCCGUGACGCUUCUCCAAGUGUGGGGAACAGACAAUGUGACUGCCCUGUAUGGAGAGGUCAUUGUGAUACCAUGCAAUGGUGGAGCUCCAGCACCAGCAGAUCUGAUGUUCGUCAAGUGGAAAUACGAGAAAGAUGAUGGCACUCGUGGCGAUCUGUUGAUCAAACAGGUCAGCAGCGUGCAGGCCACAGUUCAGGCUACAGACCAAUAUGCCCAGCGGGUCAGCAUCGAUGCCAACUUCAGCCUGCUCAUCUCCCAGGCCACGCUCAAAGACCAGAAGACCUUCACCUGCAUGGUUGUGUCAGGCUCCAACCUCAUUGAGUACCCCGUCUCUGUCCUCGUUUACAAGAUACCGUCUUCAGUUCAGAUUAUGGACAAGUCUAAAGUACUGCAGAAGGACAAACCAACAAUGGUGGGAACAUGUGUUGCGGCAAAUGCAAACCCUGCAACUACAUUCACCUGGAAAAAGAAUGGAAAGCCCUUGUUAGCCGAUGGGAAAGCUGUUGUGAUCAGUUCUAGCAUUAAGCUGGAUCCAGCCACAGGCCUGUCCACCACCUCCUCCACCCUCCAGUAUGCAGCUUCCAAAGAGGACUUUGCUGCAGUCUUUGUCUGCGUGUCCACACAUAAGCUGACCAAUCAGGAGGAAGAACUGGGACCCUUUCCCAUUUACUAUCCAUCGGAGAAGGUUAGCCUCGAAAUUAUGUCCAAGGGACCGAUCGUAGAAGGAGAUAACGUGACGUUGAAGUGUCACGCUGAUGGCAACCCUCCACCCAGCUCCUUCUUCUUCCACAUCAAGGGCCAGAAAAUGCCGGUGGUAAAUUCAGACAACUACACUUUGACUAACAUCAGCAGAGAGGCUGGGGGUGAAUACAAAUGCUCCCUGGCUGACAAUGAGAAAAUGGAGGCCUCCCAAAGCAUUGCUGUUAGCUACUUGGACCUGAGUCUGACUUCCUCUGGGAAGGUUGUGAAGGCAUUAGGGGACACCUUCCAUGUGACGAUCGAGAAGAACGCUUCUGGUGACCCUGAAGUUUCAUGGACAAAGAAUGGAAAGGCAAUGGAGGGAGUGAAGAAGCUGCAGUUUAGCAAGUUAACCUAUGCUGAUGCAGGAGUGUAUGUGUGUGAGGUUUCCAUGACCAGCCUUACGCGACGUCAGAGCUUUGAACUGGUCGUUGAAGGAAAGCCUAUGAUCACCAGCCUUACCAAGGACCGUGCGGAUGAUGCCGAUUCCAAAGUUCUGACCUGCGAGGCUGAGGGUGUACCAGAACCCAACUUCCAAUGGAGCGUCAAUAGCACAGGCGUAAAGGUGAAGAGCUCCCACACCAACAGCAAGGUCACCCAUAAAAUCACUGUGACCCCCUCGGUGAAUCUGACUGUCACCUGCAGGGUCAGCAACAAGCUGGGAGAAGAUACCAUGACCAUCAAUGUUUCCUCUGUUUUUAAGGAGAAAACAGAUAAAAGAGGUAAGAGACUCUCAGGAGGAUUCAGAGGACCAGGCCAAGCUCAUAGUGGGAGUCGUGGUAGGGCUCCUCGUAGCUGCUGCCAUAGUGGGACUCAUCUACUGGCUCUACAUGAAGAAUUCAAGACAAGGAAGCUGGAAAACAGGGGAGAAGGAGUUGGGAACAUCUGAGGAGAGCACGAAACUAGAGGACAACAAUCACGCUGUUUAAAGGCACUCCUGCUGUACUACAUGGGAUGAAUAUGAAGCAGCCAUGCAACAUUAAAACUACAGACUCCCAGUUGGCUGCUGACACCCUCCAUCAGGCUCCACACAAGCAGCAACAGAGUCCUGCCCACUGCCUGCUGUCCCACCUCACUGUCUGAAGUCUGCACUGAGGCUGCCUCGUGUUACUGUUUCAUUUUGUGUUUUUGUGUUCCUGGUGAAUGCUCCGUUAUGUUUUGUGUGAGCAAUUCUGCUCAGGGUGUGUGGUGGGUUUUUUGCCGCUUAGUUCUUUCUUUAGGAUUAAUUUUUUGUGUGUUCUCGAUUUUCUUCAAAGAAUGUAAAAAUCCCUUGUACACUUUUAAGGCCUGUAUAACAAAUUAUAAGUAUGUUUGUGCCCUCACUGAGCAUGCCAAUGUUUAUUUUUAUUGUUAGUUUUUUUUUGUGCGCUGUGUGUUGAAAAGCCUUUGUUAGGCUGUCCUCAGAGAAAAAUACACUUUACUGUAUAACCCUACUGAAACUCCGCAACAUCUCUUAACCUCCUGACUUAUGUUUUCUGGUUUUCAAACACUGGCAAAUGGAUUGUCUGUAUAGGUAAUGGAUGCCCACUAC